AUGAAUGAAUGAAUACAUAAAUAAAAAUAAAUAAAUAAAAUCACGAGCUCUGGAGAUGUACUACCUGGAGUUGGAAAUCUGGUCCUAUGAGGCUCAAUAGGGGCAAAUUAAAUUCUUUCUUGAGCCUCUGUCUCCGUAGCUAUAAAAAUGUAAUAAUUCCUACCUCUUAGACUUCAACAUUAGAAUGGUAACAAGGGAAGUAACCAAUGAAAGUGUCACUAUGAUUCACUAUUAGUAUUAAUACCGGAGAGGCACAGAGGCUUCCGGUCAUUGUGCCCACUGUCACAGAGCCGAGAUAGGGAGGCGCGGCAGUGGCUGCAGAUAUGGGCUCAAAUUGUCCAGAGGGUGCUCCCUGAAGACGUCAAAUCCCUGCCUUUGUGGACAAUCCCCCAAGGACUCGGACUGGCGAUGACACACCAAGCAAGGCCGACCUGCCCCAGCGGUCCGCCCCGCCCGGAUCCCCAUCGGCAAAGAAACAGCCACCGGUGGCAACGCAGAUCUUCCAGCGCGACUUCCGAGAGCUGCGAGGCAUGCCGGGAGUGAGCCACACAGCCAAUCCCUGCGCGGGGCCGUGGCGGUUACCAGUUCCCUCACACUUACCUGGACUUGAAGGAAUGAGAAGAUCAUCGAGCCUCCUCAAAAAAAAAAAAAAAAAAAGGAACAAAUA